AUCAACGCUGGCGGCGUGCCUAACACAUGCAAGUCGAACGCGAAGGUGGAGCAAUCCAUGAGUAGAGUGGCGAACGGGUGAGUAACACGUGGGUGACCUACCCUCGAGUGGGGGAUAACAUCCCGAAAGGGGUGCUAAUACCGCAUGACAUCCUGUCUUUGAACAGAUGGACAUUAAAGCGGGGAUCGCAAGACCUGGCGCUCGAGGAGGGGCUCGCGCCCGAUUAGCUAGUUGGUGAGGUAACGGCUCACCAAGGCGACGAUCGGUAUCCGGCCUGAGAGGGCGGACGGACACACUGGGACUGAGACACGGCCCAGACUCCUACGGGAGGCAGCAGUGGGGAAUUGUUCGCAAUGGGCGAAAGCCUGACGACGCAACGCCGCGUGGAGGAUGAAGAUCUUCGGGUCGUAAACUCCUUCGAUCGGGACGAAUGAUCGGUGACCUAACACGUCAUCGGAAAUGACCGGUACCGAGAGAAGAAGCCCCGGCUAACUCCGUGCCAGGCAGCCGCGGUAAUACGGGGGGGCAAGCGUUGUUCGGAAUUACUGGGCGUAAAGGGCGCGUAGGCGGCCUUCUAAGUCGGACGUGAAAUCCCUCGGCUCACCGGGGAACUGCGUCCGAUACUGGAAGGCUUGAAUCCGGGAGAGGGAUGUGGAAUUCCAGGUGUAGCGGUGAAAUGCGUAGAUAUCUGGAGGAACACCGGUGGCGAAGGCGGCAUCCUGGACCGGUAUUGACGCUGAGGCGCGAAAGCUAGGGGAGCAAACGGGAUUAGAUACCCCGGUAGUCCUAGCCCUAAACGAUGAGUGCUUGGUGUGGCGGGUAUCGAUCCCUGCCGUGCCGAAGCUAACGCAUUAAGCACUCCGCCUGGGGAGUACGGUCGCAAGGGCUGAAACUCAAAGGAAUUGACGGGGGCCCGCACAAGCGGUGGAGCAUGUGGUUCAAUUCGACGCAACGCGAAGAACCUUACCCCAGGCUCGAACGGCGAGUGACAUCCGGCGAAAGUCGGCUUCCGCAAGGACACUCGUCCGAGGUGCUGCAUGGCUGUCGUCAGCUCGUGUCCGGUGAGAUGUUGGGUUAAGUCCCGCAACGAGCGCAACCCCUGCUUUCAGUUGCUACCGGAUCAAGCCGAGCACUCUGAAAGGAUCGCCAGGAGAACGGGGAGGAAGGUGGGGAUGACGUCAAGUCAGCAUGGCCUUUAUGCCGUGGGCCACACACGUGCUACAAUGGCCGGUACAAAGCGCUGCAAACCCGUAAGGGGAAGCCAAUCGCAAAAAACCGGCCUCAGUUCAGAUUGAGGUCUGCAACUCGACCUCAUGAAGGCGGAAUCGCUAGUAAAUCGCGGAUCAGCACGCCGCGGUGAAUACGUUCCCGGGCCUUGUACACACGCCCCGUCACACCACGAAAGCCUGUGUGUACCUGAAGUCGCCCACGCCAACCGCAAGGAGGCAGGUGCCCACGGUAUGGCCGGUGGUGAUUGGG
rnacentral:rRNA from 1 species